GGGAGUAGUCGGCUUCCGGCCCCACCGGAAGAACCUGCGUCAACAUAAUCGGCCCGCAGGCCGUGGCGCAGGUGGCUGCGGCACGCACACAGUGCGAUGCCGCGCAGCU
rnacentral:sRNA from 2 species